rnacentral:rRNA from 1 species
CCAGACUCCUACGGGAGGCAGCAGUGAGGAAUAUUGGUCAAUGGGCGGGAGCCUGAACCAGCCAAGUCGCGUGAGGGAAGACGGUCCUAUGGAUUGUAAACCUCUUUAGGCGGGGAGCAAUGCCGGGCACGUGUGCCCGGAGGGAGAGUACCCGCAGAAUAAGCAUCGGCUAACUCCGUGCCAGCAGCCGCGGUAAUACGGAGGAUGCGAGCGUUAUCCGGAAUGACUGGGCGUAAAGGGUGCGUAGGUGGUUUGACAAGUUAGUAGCGCAACUCCGGAGCUUAACUUCGGAACUACUACUAAAACUGUUGGACUUGAGUGCAGGAGGGGCAAUCGGAAUUCCUAGUGUAGCGGUGGAAUGCGUAGAUAUUAGGAGGAACACCAGUGGCGAAGGCGGAUUGCUAGACUGUAACUGACACUGAGGCACGAAAGCGUGGGGAGCAAACAGGAUUAGAUACCCUAGUA